CACGUAGGGGGCGAGCGUUGUCCGGAUUUAUUGGGCGUAAAGAGCUCGUAGGCGGUUCUGUAAGUCGGGUGUGAAAACUCCGGGCUCAACCCGGAGACGCCACUCGAUACUGCGGUGACUGGAGUCCGGUAGGGGAGUGCGGAAUUCCUGGUGUAGCGGUGAAAUGCGCAGAUAUCAGGAGGAACACCGACGGCGAAGGCAGCACUCUGGGCCGGUACUGACGCUGAGGAGCGAAAGCGUGGGGAGCGAA
rnacentral:rRNA from 1 species